AUGGACAUUAACAGAAUAGAGGUAGCAAAAUUCUGCAUCCUGGCCCUGGACCGGGUUGGGCUUCUGCUUCUCAUGGUCAGAAGCCUCCCUCUAUCGACCAACAGUUUCACUGUUCAAGAGAAGGAAGCUCUUGUUAGAAUCAAGAGGAGCCGCCAAUCUACCAGAACAGCCCUGAACAGACCUAUACGCUACCUAGAUUUUACAGAAGACUAUGUACCAGGAGUGAAAUACUAAUGAAAAGUCAUCAGCAUCUGGUAUUCAAAAUCAGAAGGUGGGAGGAAGGAUACCGGGCAUUUGUGCUUAUCUCUGAGUCAGUAUGAUGUAAUUCCAAGGAAACUGUGCCCCUGACUUUUUCUAUGAAAAUGAGUAAAAUAAUGCCUCUUUAUUUCGCAUUUGUUAUAUAUUUUCUUGCUAGUCUUCAUCCUGCCAUUCUACCUACUGCUCAUCAUUGUUCUAAAAGACUAUGGAUGUCUUACUACAAUCCUUCCCCUCAGCAUUCUCACAAAAUUAUUGAUUACACUUAUACUACUG
rnacentral:lncRNA from 1 species